rnacentral:ncRNA from 1 species
UCAAACGAAUUGAUCCGGAAAGUACUUUUCCAAGUAAUGUCUAGAGAGUCGGUACUAGCUGUAAGCCGAUCUUUACUAAGAAAAGGAAAAUGGCCGGUGAUUGGUUGAUACGAACGGUUUACCGAAAGUAUCAAACGGAAUGGUCCUCGUUAUCGGACACGCCAUUGCUGUUAGCCCAUCUGCUAACAAAGAUGGUUAGUAAGGUUUAUUUGUGCAAGCAAAGAAACAAAUCAGGAUGGUAACGCGACAAGUCGCUUCUGUA